GACCUUGCGCUUUUGGAGCGGCCGAUGUCUGAUUAGCUAGUUGGUGAGGUAAAGGCUUACCAAGGCUUCGAUCAGUAGCUGGUCUGAGAGGACGACCAGCCACACUGGGACUGAGACACGGCCCAGACUCCUACGGGAGGCAGCAGUGGGGAAUUUUGGACAAUGGGGGAAACCCUGAUCCAGCCAUGCCGCGUGAGUGAAGAAGGCCUUCGGGUUGUAAAGCUCUUUCAGCCGGAACGAAAAGGUUACGGUUAAUACCCGUGACCAAUGACGGUACCGGAAGAAGAAGCACCGGCUAACUACGUGCCAGCAGCCGCGGUAAUACGUAGGGUGCGAGCGUUAAUCGGAAUUACUGGGCGUUAAAGCGUGCGCAGGCGGUUUUUGUAAGUCAGAUGUGAAAUCCCCGGGCUCAGCCUGGGAACUGCGUUUUGAAA
rnacentral:rRNA from 1 species